rnacentral:lncRNA from 1 species
CUUACACACAGUACCCAGCUUAUCCACCCUCACCCUUCUAUCCUAACCCGGCAAACCCCACCUCGGGGAAUGCUGCACCCCCACCUCCACCACCUACAGAACCAGCAGCCCCAGUUACUCAACCUUCUAGACCUAGCUCAGCCGGUGGGAGCAAAGUAAAGAUGACAGAUUACCUUAAGCUGGAUGCUCCCAAAUACAAGUCAGGGGAUGAUCCCUUUGAGUACCUGAGAGUAGUGAAGACAAUAACUGAUGAACUAGGGGCAGAUGACAGCA